rnacentral:rRNA from 1 species
AGACAGCAGCAGCCGCGGUAAUACGUAGGUGGCAAGCGUUGUCCGGAAUUAUUGGGCGUAAAGGGCUCGCAGGCGGUUUCUUAAGUCUGAUGUGAAAGCCCCCGGCUCAACCGGGGAGGGUCGUUGGAAACUGGGAAACUUGAGUGCAGAAGAGGAGAGUGGAAUUCCACGUGUAGCGGUGAAAUGCGUAGAGAUGUGGAGGAACACCAGUGGCGAAGGCGACUCUCUGGUCUGUAACUGACGCUGAGGAGCGAAAGCGUGGGGAGCGAACAGGAUUAGAGACCCCCGUAGUCCCUGUCUCUUAUAU